rnacentral:tRNA from 1 species
ACAAAUAUAAAUAAAAUAAAGUAUAAGGCUUUUAACCUUAAGAAAAAACAAAAAUUCUUUUUUUGGG